rnacentral:tRNA from 1 species
GGGUAUAUAGCUCAGUGGUAGAGUGUGUGCUUAGCAUGCACAGGGUCUUGGGUUCAAUCCCCUGUGCCUCCA